ensembl:snRNA LOC120098055 U6 spliceosomal RNA
GUUUGUUUCAGCAUACAUAUACUGAAACUGGAACAAUACAGAGAUUAGCAUGGCCCCUGCACAAUUUGACACACAGAUUCAUUAAAGCAUUCCACAACAGG